UCAAACCCUAGCUCUAAAUGCCUCUCCUCUCUACUCCCUCCUCACUCCUAUUUGAAACCCCCAUCCCAACAUAACUAAAACAUUAUUAAUAUUAAAAUAUGCAAAUGUAUUACAAAUAGAAUAUAUUAAGCAAUUUAGUUGCUCUAAUAGUGUCGAAGGAGUAUGAAAAAAAUAUAGUUACUAAUGAAUGAAAAACUUUUUAAAAGUUGAAAGAACAGAAAACAUUACCUACUUGUUGGGCAUCAAGAACAUUCUUCUCUCCUUUUUCCUUCACCUCUCUCAUUUCCUUUAUCCUCAUGAAUAGGUACUGCUUAAUGUUAUCCCGAUCGAACGCGCUCUCAGUAACCACUUUUAAUUGCAAGAUGUUGCAUUGAACCAAUUCUAGCUGCUUUAAGAGGCAAAAUCUUCAAAUAAAGUGGCUAAUAAUCUUUUUUGUUUGUGGUGGAAUAACUUGGGAAGCCACUGGUAAAUUCACAUGAUCUAGUAUUAUACUUUCUAAGGAUGGAUAAAAUAUUUUGCCGGUGCUCAUAAAAGUCGGUGGAAUUCAGCCGGUCCACAUCAACUCUAGGAUGCUAAAAUUUAAAUUCUCAAAUACCCUAUGUUAUAACAUGCGACUCCGUUACAAGUUUGUAGUAGUUGUGUUGUUGUCCCAUGUGGCACAUGAGGAGUUGUUAAUGCUGGAUUUGUACCACCUUGUAAGUUUAGGAGGGUGAGGGUCAUCUUAUAAUCCUUAUUGUUUCAAACAUAGCACCUCCGAGUUUACCCUUUACACGAAGUGAUGACAAAUGUGUAAGGGGUGCUAGCCCUUUUCAGUAGUGAUGAUAAAAGUGUGCUAGCCAUGUAAGAGAGGUAGUGAUGAUAAAAGUGUAAGAGAGGUGCUUGCCCAACUUGCUUCAUAUAUUUCAUUCUGGUGCUAACUCUCCCUUUAUAGCGCCAUGAACUUUAUAUCAAAUUUCAUAAGUUUAAAUGAAAACUCC
rnacentral:lncRNA from 1 species